rnacentral:rRNA from 1 species
ACUGGCGCGGCAAAUUGCGGACUCUCGGCUCGAUUCUCCCACACUUUGUGAACGUACCUCUGUUGCUUUGGCGGCUCCGGCGCCACAUGACCUCCAACUCCAGUCAGUAAACGCAGACGUCUGACUUGAAGUUAAUAAACUAAAACUUUCAUCAACGGAUCUCUUGGUUCUGGCAUCGAUGAAGAACGCUUGGAAAUGCGAUAAGUAAUGUGAAUUGCAGAAUUCAGUGAAUCAUCGAAUCUUUGAACGCACAUUGCGCCCCUUGUCAUUCCGGGGGGCUUGCCUGUUCGAGCGUCAUUACGACCCUCAAGCUCUGCUUGGAAUUGGGCACCGUCCUCACUGCGGACGCGCCUCAAAGACCUCGGCGGCGGCUGUUCAGCCCUCAAGCGUAGUAGAAUACACCUCGCUUUGGAGUGGUUGGCGUCGCCCGCCGGACGAACCUUCUGAACUUUUCUCAAGGUUGACCUCGGAUCGGGUAGGGAUACCCGCUGAACUUUAGCAUAUCAAUAAGCGGAGGAA